GUGCUUGCUUCAUCAGCACAUAUACUAAAAUUAGAAUGAUAAAGAAAAGAUUAGCAUGACUCCUGUGCAAGGAUGACAUGGAGAUUUGUGAGGCGUUCCAUAUUUUA